rnacentral:tRNA from 1 species
GAAGGUAUAGCUCAAGUGGCAGAGCACAUGCUUAGCAUGCACGAGGUCCUGGGUUCAAUCCCUACUACCUCCA